UCUCAAAGGGAACAGAGACGAAAGAGACUUAUCAUUCUCCUCAUACCUUUUGCCACCUCUAUCUCUCUAUUUCUCUCUCUAAGCCUUUGCAACUGAUUUUCUCCUCUCACCAAGAACAAACAUUCAUUAAGGAAGAAAAAAAACUUUCUGAAUUAAAUAAGAUUACACCCACCUCCCCUUUCCCCAAAAUUCAUCAAUAUUAUCUCUGAUUCAUUCCCAAUUCUCUCUUAUGGAGCUUUUCCCUUCACAACCUGACUUGUACUUGAAGAUAAACAGAAGAAGAGAAGAACAAGAAGAAGAAGAUUAUAAGGAACAAGAAGAAGUCCAAAGGAGAUUACUCUUUGGUAGUAAAGCCUCAGAUUCAGACAGAAAGGCUUCUGAUCAUCAUAUCCACACCCUCCAAUUCACAUCAAACAAUGAACCCACCAAGAUUGAUCAUAAUCAAGAACACAUGGAAUCUCUACAUCAAGAUUUGAGAUCGAAUUUUAUGGUGAAACCAAUAAGAGGAAUUCCUCUUCACCAAAAUCAAAUCCUUGACCACUACUACUAUUCUCCCACUCCUCCUUUUUUCUUCAGUGAAGUCAACGGUCAACACACAAACCCUAGUUAUAGUUAUAAUCUUCACCACCGUCAUCAUCGUCAAGCUCAGCCGCAGGCGCAAAGAUUAACGGCAAAACGAGGAGUAAGGGCUCCGAGGAUGCGGUGGACGACGACCCUCCAUGCCCAUUUCGUUCAUGCUGUUCAAUUAUUGGGUGGUCAUGAAAGAGCCACUCCAAAAUCAGUACUUGAGUUGAUGGAUGUUCAAGAUCUCACAUUGGCUCAUGUUAAAUCUCAUCUACAGAUGUAUCGGACCAUCAAAUCUACUGAGAAGCCUACAACAUCAUCAGAUAUAGGGCAAUCAGAUACUUGCGAGAAUGAAUUAAAACUAAACAGUGAGAGACAAGCCAGAGAUCUCCAAGGUCUGUGGAGUAACUCCUCAAGUGAAGCUCGGUUCCACUUAAAGGCAAAGGCAUCAGGUCUAGACAUGUCAUCCAAUAAGGUAUCAAACAUUCAAAACUUAAACAAAAGAGGAUUGAAAUGAAAUGGGACAGCAAAAUUCGAGGGUGAAAAGGAAAAAAAAAAAUGUGGAUCAAAGAUGUCCAAGCUACGAACGAUUGUCGUCGGAUUCGUCAAGUCUCACUGGGACAAGACCAGAGAUUGAAACUCCCAAUCUCGAGUUCACUUUAGCUAUACCAAACCUUCUUCCCUAGUUUACUAUAAAUACGACAAAAACAAAAAAAAACUGUUAAAAUAUACAAAUUUAAACUUUAAAGUUAUGCUUGCGUUAUGAAAAAAAUAUGAAAUGAUGUUUGUUUCUCCGACUAGAUAUUUGUUCUUUUUUUUCCUGUAAACUUGAGAAGCCUUUUUGUUUACGGGGUCGUUAAUUUGAGAUGCUUAUAUAGAUAUGCAGACUUCUUUUU